CCGGGAGAAUUUCUUAAUGGGGUGCCAAUGCCAGUCCCCGAAGCCAGGGUUCCCGGACCCUCGGGGCUGAGCUGGGCGCUGGAGCCCCGCAGGGGCGGAGAGGCCGGCCGAGCCUGAAGAAGUGGAGGAGAGAUCUACACAACUUCAGUGGGGUGUCCCCGUCCCAUCUUCCUGUUCGCCCUCUUUUGCCCUCAACUCCAUCUCUGAGACAUCCUAUCCUCCCCCCCAAAAAAGAAGUCACUACCGGGGCUCUGUCUGCAGAGAGCCAGGGUGAGAGCGGGCAAGGCGAGAGAGCGACCUCGGUCGUGGGCAAGUAGCUUGUUUUUACGUCCUUCAAUAAAAUUUUUAUGAGGAUCAUUUGAUUGUUCAUAAAUGUGUCUUUCAUUAAAUAAAAUUGUAGGCUGUUUUUGGAACGAAAGAAAGCUAUGAAGGAAUGGGAGAAAGCAAUUUCUUUGGAGUCAGACACAGGAAUUCUGGAGGGGGCAGUGUGAUGGCAGGGAAGAUGACACAACUCAGAUUCCUCCCCCCUCAGUAAGUUGGUUGCUACCCUCCUCCUUGAAUUUGGGGUUCACUGCCCAGCCCUCUGCUUUCCAUCAGACUGUCCCAUGGUGGUUUAGCAAAAGUGGGCAAAGGCAAGCAGGAAAUUCUCAGUGUGGGUGCAAGAGAAGGGCAAGGAAGUUGGUGGGGGUGGGGGAGAAGAGCAGGUGAUAUCCCCAGAGACACAGGGCAGAGUGAAUUUGAAAGAGGGGUGCAAUUUCAGGGUCAGCAGGGAAUAGUCCAGUUUGCGCCAAGGGAAACAGGCAGGAGCUGAGGCUAAGACACAGGCUCUGAGGCAGCAGAGAAGGACAAGGUUUCUCAGACUGGAGAUGUCUGCUCUUCUUUUCCAUUCCUGUCCUCAGGAGGGGACCAAACACCAGGGGUUGUGGGAGGGGGCGGAGGCUGCUUUUUUCCUGCAUCUCUGUCAACCUGUCUCCUCUAAGGAGAAGGGCUAGAGAGAGGUGUUCCAGAGACUGCAAUGUGUGUGUUUGGGAGAAGGGGGGGGUGAGGAAAGUUGAGGGGGAAGGGUCUGUCUGCAGCCCGCAGCACUGACCCCAGCCUGCCAGGCCCCCACCCCAGUCCCUGCUCCUCCCCUUCUCGGGUUCUCUCCUUUUCGGUCUAGCGGGGCUGGGAUUUCGACGCAUGGGGGGGGGGGGGGACGUGAGAAGUACCCGGCUGGGGAGAGGCAACCCGGGGCCUCAGCCUCUUCACCCUCAGCUCUGAUUAUCUUCUACUCCCCCUCGACUGGACUGGUUUUGGAAAAGUCAAAUUACAGCAAGAAACAGAAUAUCUCUUUGGCCUUGAUGGAGCUGGGUUAGCUGUCAAUCAAAAAUUCUCCCUCACUAGUUCAAGGAAAAGACUGCAGGUUACAGUCCCCCUGCCUAGGCUUCCUCCAAAUCCCCAGCGCCAUCAGCACCUCCCCCCCAGCCCUGGCGGCGGGGACCCUGCCUGGUUCUUGGGUGGCUGCUGGCAAUGCUGAGCAGAGCCGCGGAGCGUUCAGAGGGCCCGGGGCCAGACUGUGACCAAGAGGACAUCAGGGGACAGAGCCUGAGAGAGACUGAGCCCGAGACAGUCUGCGACAGCAAGACUGAAGCACGGCGCCAGGUCCCCAGAGAGGAAGGGAGGAAGGAAGGAGGGAAAGAAAGAAGAAAACGGAUUAGAAUAAAAGAAAGAGGGAAGAAAGACAGAAAAGAGGGGAGGCAGGAUGAAAAGAGAGGGAAGAGCAGGGAAAGGAAGGCAUGCAGAGAGAGUCGGAGGAAGGGCGGCGACAGGCAGGCAGGACGGGGCAGGGCGCGGGCUGGCUGGCCGAGCAGCCGUGGCAUUGUGCAACCCGCUGGCUGGCCGGGCCUUUGCCGCGGGACUGGCUCUGGGCGCGGCAGCCACUUCUGUCCGGACACAAAGGAGGAAGAGGCCUCCUCUCCUGCCCCUCCCGGGCGACCUGCUGAGGUGGGGACACCAGGCCUCUAGGAUAUAGAACCCUAUCUCGGCCCAGGCAGCUACCCAGGCAGCUGGGAGCUGAGCCACGCUCUCAAUCAAGGAGCAAAGAAGACAGGAUGAAGGAGAAGGUUUCAAGCCCGCCGGCUCCUCCUUUUUGUCUUCGCCAGGGGACAGGGCCCAUGUGUCCCUACCUCAGUCUUCCUAGAAGGAAGCUGCCCCCAAAGCCUCUCUCCUAUGGGCUUCUACUAUUUGGGAAAGCCCCCCAGACACAGUGGCUGUAAACAGAUGCCCCUUUCUCUCCUACCCAGCUUGGCCACCACCUUCUUUUCAACUCUUGAGCAGCCUGCCCACCCGGCAGAGGCAGCAGCAGUGGGGCAGCCAGGAUCACCAGGCCCACGCUCUCUGCUGCCAUCAAAUUCCCUGUGAGACUGAGGGGAGGUUGUCGCCUUCGUUUCAGAGCAUGAACUCAGACCCUCCCCACUCAGGCACAGACACAGCUGUGGAUCUGGAAGCAGGCCUCACCCAUAGCCCCCUCCCCACCAACGCCCCAUUUUGCCUGGGCCUUGCUAAGAGAGGCAGCCUGGGGGAGGGGGGCUGGAAGAGGCUGAGAAUUCCUGAGUUCACCAGGCCAGGUCCCUCGGGUUCCACAACUACAUGUGGACGGUACCCCCAUCCUCUGCAUUUGGAGGUGGGGUGGCAGGUCAGAGCUCUGAAGCAGACCCUGGGGCUCUCCCCAAAUCCAGACCUGGAGGGCACAAGGAUGUGGGAGCACCAAGAAGGAGUUUGUCUUCCCAGGUUCAGUUAAGCCUGCCAGGUUCCCAGACUCCCUCUCACCCCCACCACUCCCUUCAAUUUUCCUUAUCACCGAUGGGGAGCCCGAGGGACUGGAGGCCACUGGGAGUCCCUGUUGGGAGAUGGGAGGACUCCAGCUUUAGCUAGCAGCUGUGCAUUCACUGUGGUUCUUAGAGCUCUCUUCUGACCCCAAAAGACGGCACUGGGCAGAGGAGAGCCCCCUCAGGGGGAGGAGCACCCUGACUACAUCACCUCAGACCUGGACAGCUGGGAUCACAAUCAAGCUAGCACCACCGUGGGCAGGACAGACAGACAGAAAGACAGCUCAGGCCUGCGCUGGAAGCAGAAACUGAAUUCUCCUGGCCCGCCGCGAGGAGACCAGCGUCUUGCCCCCACCCCAGGUGGGUAUCCGGGAUCCCUACACACCAGGAGUCCAGCCGCUAAGCCCAGCAGGAGUGAAACCCCCAGGGCCUGUGAACGUGGCCCUCUCAACGCCACGGCCUGCAUUCCCUCCGGCCCCCUGCCCUGCGCCCCGCAGCAAACGGGGCUAUUUCCGCUCCCCCAACCCGAUCUGGUUUCCCAGCCUGGGGAGUGGCUGGAGGGGGAGCGGCCCCAGAGCUAGGGGUGCUCUCCGCCUGGAGCCCCCCGUGGUCCUGGGCGCCUGGUUACCUGAUCUUUGUGUGAUGUAUGUGUCGCAAGGAAAUUUGCAGUGACUUUGGAGCCCAGACUGAGGAAGCGGAGGUGGCGAAAGGAGAGACAAUACGGGUCCGAAGUACAAUUAAGGAGCCAGAGCCGCUAGUCUCUUCCCCCGCCCUCCCUGCCAGACUAGGAGCUGUCUGGCCUCAAACCUCAGGGCAACUCGCGAACCUGGAGCCGGAAACUCAGCCCAUGGCGGAGGGAACCGGAGGUUCUGGCGUCCAGAAAGCAGGAGGAAAGCGCCCUCCAACUUGGGAGCCCAGCCACCAGCCCCACUGAGUCGCCGAGAAUCCAAUGAAUGAAAGUGCACAUUCCGACGAAUUUUUCCCAAUUUUUUUCAGCCUUUGGCUGGACAGCCUAGGGUUUAGGACGUCUCAGAUGGACAGACAGACAGGCAAACCGCAUCUCCGGAGGCAGACAGACUCACAACAUGAGUGUGAGUCUGAAAUCAAAUACAGGUUCAACAUUCCCCAGGCCUCUCUGCCAGGCCGGGAGGGCGCCGAUCU